GGUGAUAGCUCUGUGGAAGAGCAAUUGCUUCGCGAGCAGAAGGUUCCAGGUUCAAUCCCCGACGUCUCCA